AUUGAACGCUGGCGGCAUGCCUUACACAUGCAAGUCGAACGGUAACAGGUUAAGCUGACGAGUGGCGAACGGGUGAGUAAUGUAUCGGAACGUGCCCAGUCGUGGGGGAUAACUGCUCGAAAGAGCAGCUAAUACCGCAUACGACCUGAGGGUGAAAGCGGGGGAUCGCAAGACCUCGCGCGAUUGGAGCGGCCGAUAUCAGAUUAGGUAGUUGGUGAGGUAAAGGCUCACCAAGCCGACGAUCUGUAGCUGGUCUGAGAGGACGACCAGCCACACUGGGACUGAGACACGGCCCAGACUCCUACGGGAGGCAGCAGUGGGGAAUUUUGGACAAUGGGCGCAAGCCUGAUCCAGCCAUGCCGCGUGCGGGAAGAAGGCCUUCGGGUUGUAAACCGCUUUUGUCAGGGAAGAAAAGGUUCUGGCUAAUACCUGGGACUCAUGACGGUACCUGAAGAAUAAGCACCGGCUAACGACGUG
rnacentral:rRNA from 1 species